rnacentral:rRNA from 1 species
UUAGGAAGCUCCGGCUAACUACGUGCCAGCAGCCGCGGUAAUACGUAGGGAGCGAGCGUUGUCCGGAAUUACUGGGUGUAAAGGGUGCGUAGGCGGUAUUUUAAGUCGCAUGUGAAAUACUCGGGCUUAACCCGGGGGCUGCAUGCGAAACUGUGGUACUAGAGUGCAGGAGAGGUAAGCGGAAUUCCUAGUGUAGCGGUGAAAUGCGUAGAUAUUAGGAGGAACACCAGUGGCGAAGGCGGCUUACUGGACGGUAACUGACGCUGAGGCACGAAAGCGUGGGGAGCAAACCAGGAUUAGAUACCCUGGUAGUCCACGCUGUAAACGAUGGAUACUAGGUGUAGGGGUCGAAAAGGCUUCUGUGCCGGAGCAAAACGCAAUAAGUAUCCCGCCUGGGGAGUACGACCGCAAGGUUGAAACUCAAAGGAAUUGACGGGGGCCUGCACAAGCAGCGGAGCAUGUGGUUUAAUUCGAAGCAACGCGAAGAACCUUACCAAGUCUUGACAUCCUCUGACGAACAUAGAGAUAUGUUUUCCCUUCGGGGCAGAGAGACACGUGGUGCACGGUUGUCGUCAGCUCGUGUCGUGAGAUGUUGGGGUAAGUCCCGCAACGAGCGCACCCCCCGUAGCUAGUUGCCAGCGAGUUAAGUCGGGCACUCUAGGUAGACUGCCGGGGACAACUCGGAGGAAGGUGGGGAGGACGUCAAAUCAUCAUGCCCCUUAUGAUCUGGGCGACACACGUGCUACAAUGGCGGUCACAAAGAGAGGCAAACCCGCGAGGGGGAGCAAACCACAAAAAGCCCGUCCCAGCUCGGACUCUAGUCUGCAACCCGACUACACGAAGCUGGAAUCGCUAGUAAUCGCGAAUCAGAAUGCCGCGGCGAAUACGCUCCCGGCUCCCGCACA